GGCCAAGUGGUGAAAAUUAUCAUGUGUGUUUGCAAAACACGAGUUGCGUAUUAAAUUCGCCUUGGUCU